UCUCCGUAGGUGAACCUGCGGAGGGAUCAUUACAGAGCUCAUGCCCUACCGGGUAGAUCUCCCACCCUAUGUUACUAUUACUUUGUUGCUUUGGCGGGCCGUUAGGCUCCGGCCCGACUACCGGCCCCGGCUGGUAAGCGCCCGCCAGAGGACCCAAAACCCUGAAUAUUAGUGUCGUCUGAGUACUAUAUAAUAGUUAAAACUUUCAACAACGGAUCUCUUGGUUCUG
rnacentral:misc_RNA from 1 species